GGAAAUUUUGAGCCGCUCGACUUCAAAGCGGAGGAACCAAUCUUUGGGGCGAAUCUUGAACAUCGGUUUGAGAAAGACACCUUCCAGUCUUAGCCCGUCAGCUAACUCCGUCGGCAAUGGGAGGAUGA
rnacentral:sRNA from 2 species